UGGUGGGCGACGUCGUGACGAAUCUGGUAUAAAUAUGAUUUGUUCGCGUUGCUCAACCACA
rnacentral:pre_miRNA from 1 species